rnacentral:misc_RNA from 1 species
UUAGCUAUUUGCCUUCAAAUAAACGCGUUUCAAAUCGCACUGCUUGUUACAUUAUAAGCACGCUUCAUAAACAAAGCAAGUAACACCGAAAUUGUCGACUUGUAUUUAUGCAAACCGACCGAGGGCGGGAUAACCAUCUAACUGCUGAAAAUUCUUAUUUUGAACUUGUUUUAAUAUUGAAUAAUUAUAAAAACGUUUAGGUCCAAAACCUUAAAGCCGUAAUGUAAUUUAAAACGACCGGUUACACCCUGAGCGCACGUUUUUUCAUUAGAGCUUCACCCUU